AGCUGACAGUAAAGAAGUAUGUUUGUGUAAGGGGGGAACUUUUGAAAGUAACUGCUGGGCAUUCUUUCAACACAUCAGAACAGUGUCCUCGUAAGUAUCAUGGCUUCCAUUUCUAUAUCGUAGCUUAAGUGUU
rnacentral:lncRNA from 1 species